GACGAACGCUGGCGGCGUGCCUAAUACAUGCAAGUAGGACGCAGUUGCGAACGGGUGAGUAACGCGUAGGAACCUGCCUAUUAGAGGGGGAUAACUAUUGGAAACGAUAGCUAAUACCGCAUACUAUCAGAUGAGCCUAGGUCGGAUUAGCUAGUUGGUGGGGUAAAGGCCUACCAAGGCGACGAUCCGUAACUGGUCUGAGAGGAUGAUCAGUCACACUGGAACUGAGACACGGUCCAGACUCCUACGGGAGGCAGCAGUGGGGAAUAUUGCACAAUGGGCGCAAGCCUGAUGCAGCCAUGCCGCGUGUAUGAAGAAGGCCUUAGGGUUGUAAAGUACUUUCAGCGGGGAGGCGUUACCCGCAGAAGAAGCACCGGCUAACUCCGUGCCAGCAGCCGCGGUAAUAC
rnacentral:rRNA from 1 species